CCUACGGGUGGCUGCAGUGGGGAAUUUUGCGCAAUGGGGGAAACCCUGACGCAGCGACGCCGCGUGGAGGAUGACGGCCUUCGGGUUGUAAACUCCUGUCAGAAGGGACGAAAUCCCGCAAGGGACUGACGGUACCUUCAGAGGAAGCCCCGGCUAACUACGUGCCAGCAGCCGCGGUAAUACGUAGGGGGCAAGCGUUGCUCGGAAUUACUGGGCGUAAAGGGUGAGUAGGCGGUCGGGCAAGUCAAGGAUGAAAUCCCGAGGCUCAACUUCGGAAUUGUUCUUGAAACUGCUCGGCUUGAGGGUAGUUGAGGAGAGUGGAAUUCCCGGUGGAGCGGUGAAAUGCGUAGAUAUCGGGAGGAACACCUGAGGCGAAGGCGGCUCUCUAAGCUACUCCUGACGCUGAAUCACGAAAGCUAGGGGAGCAAACGGGAUUAGAUACCCGAGUAGUC
rnacentral:rRNA from 1 species